rnacentral:rRNA from 1 species
CCGCGGUGAAUACGUUCUCGGGCCUUGUACACACCGCCCGUCACACCAUGGGAGUCGGUAACACCCGAAGUCUGUAGCCUGACGCAAGAGGGCGCAGCCGAAGGUGGGAUUGAUGACUGGGGUGAAGUCGUAACAAGGUACC